GGUAACGGGAAACGAAGUCUGCUGUUAGGUAAAAGGCAGACUAAUAAACUAAUAAAGCGGGCUUGGUGGUUUGUUUUUAAAGACACUUUAGGCGCCGUCUGCGAACUAUACCGCUAAGUUCCGUUUCUAAAAAUAGAAGCUUUUAAAACAUCUCAGGGCGGAAAGGUCAAUAAGGAGCGGUUGGGCGGCAAACAAAAUGGCAGGAUCGGCCUGAAGGAGUCGAGGCUCGAAGCGGGAGAAGGACGGCAGAGCACGGGAACGGCGCUGUGACUGACCAAGGUAGUAAAGGUGAUGUACAAGCCCAACAGACUUCGGAAGGCAAAUUCAAGCCAAAGAGUUGAAGUGUUACCACUCCAAGCCUUGUGCUCCACUCUUCAGAUGCAUAUUUCCAUCUUCAAGCAGGGUUAUAUGGUCUUGAGCUCACUUUUCCAGCCGUCAUCCUUUGAGCCCCAGCUUGCUAAAGUAACCUACUUUACACCCAAGGAACUCAUUAAGUGUCUCUGAUGGCCCUGCCUUAGAGACACCGACAUCCUCAGGAGCUGCAGAACAGACCGCUAGUGAGGUGGAAGUAACUUCAGCUCUGCCUUCACUAUUGUCUGGAAUGUCAGCAACAACGCAGAGGUAGCAUCCUCAGCACUAUGUCAAUACCCUGCCUCAAGAGAUGCCAGUCCAUGAUGACACCGGCAAGAAAGACACUCAGACUCUGUAACGUGUCAUAUAAAACCCUAUUUAUUAAAUCUAACACUGUAAAGAAAGAGAGAAUCAUGUAGAUAAUCUUACAUCCCUUUAGAUGUUGGAAAUUCCGAGUCACUCAGCAUCGAACAGGCCUCUGAUCCCCAUGCAGCACGCUGCAGGCCCCGUGAGCUGGCACAGGCAGGACACAGGAACAACCACAAAGCCACCGAUGAAAUGCAAAGGGUAAAUUUAUUCUUGUUACCUCAUGACCUGAGGGAUCUCUGCAGCAGCAUCUGGGCAGAGGCACACAAGCGGGGAUGGAGGCACCAUGGAGCUCAGUCCUUGCUGGUCAGAAAAAGGAGAAGAAAAAAAAGAUCUCGAACCUGCUGCUUUUGCCUGUAUAUAUCAGGGAUUUUCACAGGCGUACUUCCACUGUGCUUUGAUCUUUCCCACAGCAGGGCAGGAAUCUCAAGGAUGUUCGAUAAGGUGCCUCAGAGUCUGUCACAUGUUAUCUAAAUGUAGACAUCCUACCAGUCAAGCACAUGAAGCUAAACAACAAUUAGUGUGAUAUAUGUGUUUUUCAACACUCCAGCUGCAAGUCACUCGAGUGUGUUUGCAAUCUUCCUUGCCAAUCUUCUGUUGUAUUCCCACACUCUCCGUGGAGAAGGUUACACCAUUUUGAUCAUUCAAGCUACUAUGGGAUUUCCUUACAAACGAACAACUCUAUCCAUCAUCUCUACUGUCAAACAGAAAGGGUGCUCGCAUGAGAACUUCUUGCUGCACUGCUCGAUGAGGGCAAGGACGAGGUUGGUGUAAGCACCGGUACUGAGUGGGAGCUGUUGCCGUGGGCUGGCACGGGUGGGUUGUCCUGCAGCCAAGGGGUUAUGUCCAGCAUGGCACAAGCCUGAAGGCCAACCUGCACGUGCAGCAGAGCACAGACCUGGGCCUAUUCUGCUUGGACGUUAUGUGGCUCACUGGCUCUUCAGCGCACGGUGAUCUGCUGCUCAGGACCACUACCCCUUGCCCAACUCCAGAUGAAGGGUCCAAGGAGCUGGGGAGCAGAGGUUGCUCUAUGUGAAGGGGACCUGACAGGCUGCUGUCUGCCUCUGCAUGCUGACCACAGCUUCCUGCGGGCUUUGGAGGUCAGCCAGGAGCAGCAGGAGGAACCACGGGGACGAUCCCCCAUGUGCAGCCCGGGAGCCAGUGGGUAAGCUGUGGGGGACAGACCCGGGCUCAGCCUGGGGAGAAGGCUUCGUGGUACUCGGCACCAGGCUCUGGAAGACCUGAGCGAAGUGCCGGGGAGCAGCAGCAGCAAAGAGACUCCAGAAGGGAUGGCAAACCAGGAGCGGAGGGUCACCACAGCGCAGGCAGUGCCUUCACCGACAGGGCAUGGUCCCCGAGCUGGGCAAGCGGGGCAGGGCGGUGACAAGCAAAGGCAAGGGGACAAGUCAGGGCUGAGGUGAGCCUUGGAGAUGCAGACAACGGCUCAGGGAUGUCGGGGACGUGGCUGGGAGCGCACACCGGCUCCGACACAGCUUACACCCUGGCCCGAGCUUCCAUGGAGCUCCUGCAUCCCUUGGCAGAGGGUGCGGGUGGGGGUCCCAGCUGAGGCUGGGCAGGGCAGGUCCUACCCACAGGGGCCCUCACAGGCCUGACGGCAACUGUCCUACAGGGCAUUCGGUCGUUGAAGAAAACGACAGCCCCCCUCCAUCCGGACCCCUAAGUCAUCUGUCAUCUUUCAACUACUCCAAGAAGCUGAGGACUUCUGCCUCAUAGUAGCCUCCUUCCUGACUUCUACCCGUCUUGUAUGGCUAGUGUGAUUCACAGCUUUAUGAUAAAAUAUUGCUGUAUCAGCAUGUACAUUCACUAGAGGGACGUAUUAAAAUCGCGCGGGAAGGGUGAAUUUGGGCGUUUCCUGCCUGAACCAUCAUUGAAAACAUAUUUUGUGUUUAACCCCCAUGGGCCAGCUAAAAUAACCAGAUUCUCAAACUAACUGACUAUAAAAAUACACAUGCUGCAGUUAAGGUGCUGAUUCAGUUUGCAAGUAUUUCUUAUACUGAAGAAAAAUAGUUUCACAGCAAGGACUUUCUUCAUUUAAUUCUAGCAUAUAGGUAAGGGGUCAAAGCUAAUGAUUACUGUUGCACUUCAUUUCAGUGUAGGAGACCUAUCGGAGUAAUAUUUAAGUGUCUGACUAGAAAGAAGAUAGAAAACACAGAAUUUCACCCCUUCAGAAACAUUGGUCAUUGGAACAUAGGUGAGCCACCAGAAAAUACUCAGGAGAGUAGAAAAGGAGAAGGGUUUGAAGUUUGAAAAAAAAAAAAAAUCCAGGAAGAAAAACCCACUAAAAAACGGCAGAGAGGGAACUCCAGAGAAGGAGAGGGACACUGUCGACACUCAAAUAACAAGUAAAAACCAGCAGCCAAAAUGACAUUUUUCCCAGAUGUCAGGUUUUCCAUGAAUGAUGCAGAUUGUAGUUCUUGCCGCGUGAUGACAGGAGACAGACCUAAGGCUCCCUGUGAUGGAGGGAGCACCUCUGAGCACCACCCCAAAGGAUAUUAGGAGCUUAUCAACAGUGCACCGAAUUAUUUGCACCCGACAGCCUGGAUGACUGCCUAGAAGGGUCAGAGGAGAUGGAUUUCUUCGCUCUGCCAUUUCA